rnacentral:lncRNA from 10 species
CCAAGCUGGUCUCGAACUCCUGACCUCAGAUGAUCCACCCACCUCGGACUGCCAAAGUGCUAGGAUUAUAGCCACAGGGGCCUCCUCCCAGCUGUUUCAGAACUGUCCUGCCUCAGGACCUUUGCACGGCUGCUCCUCCUGCCUGGACUGCAGGCAUCCCAGGUAUCUAUGUGGCCUGCUCCUUCCUUCAAACCUGUGCUCAAACACCACUGACCACUCUAUCUGAGGUUAUCCUCCCCUUCCCGACCCUCAUGAAACACUCCCACCCUGUCACCUUUUUCUGUUGCACUACCAUCUCCUUUUUAAUUUUUUAAUUUUUUAUAUUUAGAGACAGGUCUCACUCUGUCUCCCAGGCUGGAGUGCAGUGGCGUGAUCAUAUAGUUCACGGCAGCCUCAAACUCCUAGGCUCAAGCAAUCCUACCACCUCGGCCUCCCGAGUAGCUGGGACUACAGACACCAGCCACCAUGCCCAGCUUGUUUUUGUAUUUUUUAUUUUUGUAG